UUGUAACAAAGACGUGGGAGGUGCCCAAAGGCUGUCGCCGACUUGAAAGGGUCGUGCACGCCCAAAAGGUUUCCUCUCACGUGAAAUCCAUCUCACCCUUUUGUGCAUCACCGCGUGGGCUUCCCUCCUCGAGGGGGGCUCGCGUUUUUCACACAAACCCCCCAUUGUAAAUGUUUGUAGAAUGUCCUUAUUUUUUUUGCGUUGACACGCGAUCAAUA
rnacentral:misc_RNA from 1 species